rnacentral:lncRNA from 1 species
UUGUUGCAGCAGUGAUAGUUCAGGUGUUUCAAAUAAGCAAUCACUUAUUUUUAUGCUCUUGCAGGGACAGGUUAUGGUGAUUGAACGGGAUUUUCUUUUUCUUUUUUUUUCUCCUACAGGAGCCUCAAGAACAAAGGCCAUCAGAGAGGCCGUUUGCUGGCAUGGAGCCCCCCAGGACUCAUCAACCAUGGUUGAGGUUGACUGAAAACAGAGCAAGAGAGGCCCCCGCCUGUCUCAGAUGAGACUGGUGUUUUUUGCAAAUGGAUUACUUAAAGGUGUCUUGAAGGGGUAUGAUACUGCGAUAUGCACCUUUCACUGCCUGGAAUCUUCCUGAGUUUUGUCUUGGUCGAGCUGCCUUCCAUGUACAGCCCCCUCUGAAGAUGUUGGAAAGGAGGAGAAGGAAGAGGAAAGCAGAGGGGAUCGCCCCGCAGAGGCCAGCCUGCAGCCUGGGCUCCAUGCACCUCUGGCUGCUAACGGGAUCCACCUCGGGUCAAGAAGGUGCUGGCUCACACUUUCCUCAAGAUUUUAGAGAUGCAUGUAUCCCAGUGCAUGUCCUGGAAAGCCUUUAAAAUUCAGAGAAAACAAGCAAAGCUCUGGCUAAUUAAAUGUUUUCUGCUUACCGUUGUUAACAUAUUAAUGAAACAGGUUAAAUGUAUUACUCAGUGAUGAGGAAGCUCUUAGCUUCUAUGCACCCCUUUUUGAGAGGAUUUCUCCAAGUGGCAUCAGUGUUUACAGUGCACUGGCUUCCUGUUC